rnacentral:rRNA from 1 species
GUUGUAUGGUUAAGUGACUAAGCGUACACGGUGGAUGCCUGGGCAGUCAGAGGCGAUGAAGGACGUACUAACUUGCGAUAAGCGCAGAUAAGGCAGUAAGAGCCGUUUGAGUCUGCGAUUUCCGAAUGGGGAAACCCAACUGCAUAAGCAGUUACUGU